AUGAGAGCCACCCCGAAGUUUGGACCUUAUCAAAAUGCGCUCAGGGAAAUCCGAUAUUCCCUCCUGCCUUUUGCCAACAAGUCAGGCACUUCAGCAGCUGCAGGGGUGAUCCAGCAGAUGCUUCAGGAGUUGGUGAAUGUGGAAUGUGACCAGGAGAUGGCUGGCAGAGCGCUCAAGCAGACGGGCAGUAGGAGUAUUGAGGCCUCCUAGGAAUACAUCAGUAAGAUGGACCCCAGGAAUGAGCAGAUUGUAAGAGUCAUCAAGCAGACCUCCCCAGGAAAGGGCCUGGUGCCCGCCCAGGUGACUCGGCGGCCCAGUUUUGAGGGCACAGGGGAAGCACUCCCAUCUUACCACCAGCUGGGUGGUGCAAACCAGGAGGGCUCCGCCGCACUGGAGGAGAUGCCACGGCAAUAUUUAAGACUUCCUCUUCCCCGGAGCCGGCACCCACGGUGCCCCUGCUCACCAACAUCCUCCCAAAGGCUACAGCACCGCAGUGGAGCCGGGUGCGCACUUCCCGGGCACACACUGUGGUCGCGGUCAUCUAUGAUCGGAGCAGCCUGGGUAUGGGGUGCAGCACAGCCCCUCCUUCCAGAGCAAGACACCAACAGAUGCCUAUUCCGGCCUGGCCAAGGCCCAGGGUGGCCCUCCCGCCAGCCUCACCUUUCCUGCCCAUGCUGGGCUGCAAGCCACCUCACACCACAAGCUGGCGGCUACCCCACCUGGGGCCCACCCAUUACACGUGUUGGGCACCCGGGGUCACACGUUUACUGGCGAAAGCUCUGCACAGGCUGUGCUGGCACCGUCUAGGAACAGCCUCAAUGCUGACUUGUACGAGCUGGGCUCCACUGUGCCCUGGUCUGCAGCUCCACUGGCACACCGUGACUCGCUGCAGAAGCAGGGUCUAGAGUCCUCGCGGUCGCAUGUGGCUUUCCGGGCUGGCCCCAGCAGGACCAACUCCUUGAACAACCCACAACCCGAACCUUCACUGCCCGCCCCCAACACCGUCACCGCUGUGACGGCUGCACACAUCCUUCACCCCGUGAAGAGGUGAAGAGCGUGCAUGUGCUGCGGCCCGAGCCCCAGACAGCUGUGGGGCUCUCGCACCCCGCCUGGGUGGCUGCGCCCACAGCACCUGCCACCGAGAGCCUGGAGACAGAAGGAGGGCAGCGCAGGCCCACACCCGCUGGAUGUGGACUAUGGCGGCUCCGAGCGCGGGUGCCCACCGCCUCCGUACCCAAAGCACUUGCUGCUGCCCAGUAAGUCUGAGCAGUACAGCGUGGACCUGGACAGCCUGUGCACCAGAGUGGAGCAGAGUCUGCGAGGGGGCACCGAGCAAGACAAGAAUAACAAGAGCCACAAAGGUGCGAAGGGAGACAAAGCUGGCAGAGACAAAAAGCAGAUCCAGACCUCCCCGGUGCCUGUCCGCAAGAAUAGCCGGGAUGAAGAAAAGAGAGAGUCUCGCAUCAAGAGUUACUCCCCUUAUGCCUUCAAAUUCUUCAUGGAACAACACGUGGAGAAUGUCAUCAAAACCUACCAGCAGAAGGUCAGCCGGAGGCUACAGCUGGAGCAGGAAAUGGCCAANGCCGGGCUCUGUGAGGCUGAGCAGGAGCAGGUGAGGAAGCUCCUCUACCAGAAGGAGUCUAACUACAACCGCCUAAAGAGGGCCAAGAUGGACAAAUCCAUGUUUGUGAAAAUCAAGACUCUGGGCAUUGGUGCCUUUGGGGAAGUGUGCCUCGCCUGUAAGGUGGACACUCAUGCUCUGUACGCCAUGAAGACUCUCAGGAAGAAAGAUGUCCUGAACGGGAAUCAAGUGGCCCAUGUCAAGGCUGAGAGGGACAUCCUGGCUGAAGCAGACAAUGUGUGCGUGGUCAAACUCUACUACUCCUUCCAGGACAAGGACAGCCUGUACUUUGUGAUGGACUACAUACCUGGCGGGGAUAUGAUGAGCCUGCUGAUCCGGAUGGAGGUCUUCCCUGAACACCUGGCCCACUUCUACAUUGCAGAGUUUAUUCUGGCCAUUGAGAGUGUCCACAAGAUGGGCUUUAUCCACUGAGAUAUCAAGCCUGACAACGUCCGCAUUGACCUGGAUGGUCAUAUUAAGCUGACAGACUUUGGCCUCUGCACUGGAUUCAGGUGGACGCACAAUCCCAAGUGCUACCAGAAAGGGAACCACAUCAGACAGGACAGCAUGGAGCCUGGUGACCUCUGGGACGAUGUUUCCAACUGUCGUUGUGGGGACAGGUUAAAGACCCUGGAGCAGAGAGUGCAGAAGCAGCACCAGAGGUGCCUGGCACAUACUCUGGCUGGGACACCAAAUUACAUCGCUCCGGAGGUGCUCCUCCGCAAAGGUGAUCAACUGGGAGAAUAUGCUGCACAUCCCCACGCAGGUGAGGCUCAGUGCCAAGGCCCAAGACCUCAAGCUGUGCUGUGCAGCUGACUGCCACCUGGGCAGGGAUGGGGCAGAUGACCUCAAGGCACACCCGUUCUUCAACGCCAUUGACUUUUCCCGUGACAUCUGAAAGCAGCCCGCGCCCUACGUCCCCACCAUGGACACCUCCAAUUUUGACCAGGUGGAUGAAGAAAGCCCCUGGCAGGAGGCCAGCGGAGAGAGUGCCAAGGCC